CUGACUGCCCUAGAGACUGAAGUCCUCUAGUUAUCCAGAGGACAAGAAGCUGUAGUGCAGGUUUUCCCCACAUUAUCCCCCCGUGUCUCAACUCUUAGGAAGGAUACAUCUCCAAAGGUGAGAGGGGGUUCAGUUUCCAUGGCCCAGUCCAUCUUCAGCCUUU
rnacentral:sRNA from 1 species